GAUGAAGAACGCAGCGAAAUGCGAUAAGUAAUGUGAAUUGCAGAAUUCAGUGAAUCAUCGAAUCUUUGAACGCACAUUGCGCCCGUCAGUAUUCUGGCGGGCAUGCCUGUUCGAGCGUCAUUACGCCCCUCAAGUCCCCUGUGGACUUGGUGUUGGGGAUCGGCGAGGCUGGUUUUCCAGCACAGCCGUCCCUUAAAUUAAUUGGCGGUCUCGCCGUGGCCCUCCUCUGCGCAGUAGUAAAACACUCGCAACAGGAGCCCGGCGCGGUCCACUGCCGUAAAACCCCCCAACUUUUUAUAGUUGACCUCGAAUCAGGUAGGACUUCCCGCUGAACUUAAGCAUAUCAAUAAGCGGAGGA
rnacentral:misc_RNA from 1 species